rnacentral:rRNA from 1 species
UACGUAGGUGGCGAGCGUUGUCCGGAAUUACUGGGUGUAAAGGGCGUGUAGGCGGGGCAUUAAGUCAGAUGUGAAAUUCCGGGGCUCAACUCCGGGGCUGCAUCUGAAACUAAAGUUCUUGAGUGCUGGAGAGGGAAGCGGAAUUCCUAGUGUAGCGGUGAAAUGCGUAGAUAUUAGGAGGAACACCAGUGGCGAAGGCGGCUUCCUGGACAGUAACCGACGCUGAGGCGCGAAAGCGUGGGGAGCAAACAGG